UUCUAAGGGCGGUGAAGUCAGACCGGAAGGACUGGUGGAGCGCUUAGAAGUGAGAAUGCCGGUAUGAGUAGCGAAAGAAGGGUGAGAAUCCCUUCCACCGAAUAUCUAAGGUUUCCUGAGGAAGGCUCGUCCGCUCAGGGUUAGUCGGGACCUAAGCCGAGGCCGAUAGGCGUAGGCGAUGGACAACAGGUAGAGAUUCCUGUACCAGUGCUAAUUGUUUAACCGAUGGGGUGACACAGAAGGAUAGGGAAUCGCACGAAUGGAAAUGUGCGUCCAAGCAGUGAGUGUGAGAAGUAGGCAAAUCCGCUUCU
rnacentral:rRNA from 1 species